ACUUGCAAAAAUGUUCUUAUUGCUCCUUCGCUGAAAGCCAAGCACUUUGGGGACUUUUUAAAACUGUCCAAAACCUUCUAAAAUGAUCGGGCAAUAAAAUGGACAGGUUCUAGGCAUUCUGACUCUUAAAUUUUUAAUUUAUAGUCCAAGCUAUUUGAUAUAUUGUACUGCAUUGUGAAUGAAAAGACCACAGCCACCCAAACUCUGACUCCACAAUGUUUCAUUUUAGAUCCAUCCCAUAAUUAUCUAGCAAUUGAAGCUUUUACAUUUACUAGUUUUGGUUGGC